CGAUAAGGACACUGGGCACAGAGACGCCAGCUAACUAGCCCGAGUUUCACGUGUCAACCAGGAAGUGUGACUGCAGAGCCCAGGCUUUGCCUGGGCCAGCUCACCCUCCUUAGGUGACCUGGUGGCCCCUGCUCCCGGGAGGUCACCACCACGAUACUGAACUGAGUGUGGACACCGGAUCAGCACAGCCCAGAACUCCUGGGCUCGAGUGACCCCGCCUCAGCCCCCUGAGCAGGAAAGCAAGAUGAUCAAAACUGCGCUCUAAGAUCACCCUGGCGGCAGUUUAUUGAAUAAAAGUGCACGGACUCGAAGUAAGCUCACGAAGGAGGCCAAAGCAACAUUCCACCAAGGGCCUGAACUGGGCGUGGUGAAGGCUCUGAGAGAAGCAGAAAAGAAAUAACCUAUGAUUUAGCAAAUCAAUGGAUGGAGAGGCUGGGAGGGAGGACAGGUGUCUAAAGUUAGAGCUGCUCUUAUCUUUCCCGUACACCAGGGAUCAGCUUCCUGGAAGACAGUUUUCCAUGGAGAAGAGGGGCGGGGAGGGAAGGGGGCGUGGCGGCCUCGCCUCCACCUCAGAUCCGCAGGCGCUGGAUUCUCACGGGGAGGCAACCUGGGUCCCUGGCUUGCGCAGUGUGCGGUGGGGGCCGUGCGGCCUGGUGGUGGUCCUGCAGCCCGGGGACUGGGGACUGCAGCCAUACACGGUCCCCUCUCGGGGGAGGAGACUGAAGAGAAAGGAGGCUGCUUGAAAGAACCAAGCCAUCAGAUCUCCCCAGAGUCCCUCCUCUCAAAAGCUCGUCGAGGUUUCGGAGUGUCUGCUGACCUGUUUAGUUCUGGGAUUCCCAUGUAAGUUUGAAAAACAGCUAAAAAAAACUCCCCAGGAAAAGAGCAAGUGAUAUUAUUACGCCAGGAAAAGCAAACCCGUGGUGUGGGGACACUCACUCCCUGGGCAGACAGAACCAGCCGCCCCCACCGCUGUUUGCACCAGGCCCAGACACACCUGGGGGGCCUGCACCGGCUGCUGCUACUAACCGGAAGAGGUGAACCCACCUGCCAGCCUUAAACCACAGCUCAUCUCCACUGUGAGCUCAAAUGCUGAGCACCUGGUGAGCGAGCUUCUGGGGUGCACAAAGGCUACUUCGUAAUAGGGUAGAGAGAAUUCCAGUUCCCGUGGGUAUAAUAUAAACAGCUUAAGUAAGAAAGAAGGAAGCAGGGCAAUGUCAUACAAUGUCAUAUCCUGAGAUUAAGCUCAAGAUAUGAAAAUCCAUUUUUUUGUGCUCAAAUUGUUCAAUUGGCAUGAAAAGGCCACAGUCUCUUGGUCCCCAAAUUGUGAUAAGCCCAAAUAAAAGUACGGCAACCG